rnacentral:lncRNA from 12 species
UUUAAGAUGUUAAAAAAGUUAACACAGAGGUUGAAUCUAGAUUGUGUUAAAAAAAAUGUUGAAGCCAGUGAAUUUACAUGAUGGUGUUAUUUAGGGCUGCACAAUUAAUAGAAUUUCUAAUCGCGAUUAGAUUAUGGAUGCCACAAUUACGUAAUCGUUUAAAGCGGCAAUUAAUCGUUCAAAGUUCACUUAUGUUAUUCUGCAUGCUUAAGAUAUGUUUUUUUCUUUCUACAUGUUAUCUUAAGGGUUUUUCCAUUGUUUUAGUUUUGGUUUUAUAUAUAAUUUAAAGACAAAACCAAUCUGAUGUAUAUUUGACAUUUGAGGCUUAAUACACUUAAUAAAAGCACUAAAGGUUUUUCAGUUAGAGUGUUUUCAGGCUUUUUUAUUUUCAUAUAAAAAUGCGGAAUGCAGUUGCAUUAAACAAUGGUAUAAACAUCAUUCAAUGUAAAUUGUGAUAAUCGUAAUUAAUAAUCGUAAUUACAGUAAUCAACAAUUAUGAUUUUUGUCAUAAUCGUGCAGCCCUAGUGUUAUUUUCACAGGGUCCUCGUGGACCUGCAGGACAAGUUGGAGUGCAAGGAAUUAUGGUGAGAAAUGCUUUUAUUACUUUAAAUCCCAAAACUUGGAACAAGGUGAAAAUAUCAAAAUAUUUAUAUGUAAGAAUUAUUUUAUAUAAAGAAUACUUAAAUACCUUGAAUAUCCUUAUAUUCAUAUAUGUUUUUGUGUCUUAAUCUGAAAGGGACCUCCAGGCCCACAAGGCAGACCAGGACCCCCUGGACCCCCUGGAGAACCGGUUCGUAACAUGUUUUUUUUUUUUUUUUUUUACUAACAUGCUGAUAUUGCCUUUUUCUGGACAUUCCUAGAAACAUAAAGUUAAUAUCCAGGUACACUUAAUAUGUUUGUUUUUGAUCUACUAAUGAAAAUAGUUGAAUCACAAUACUGACACAGCACUCCAUGGGGAAUAAAAUAAAUAUUUGUUUGUACUGCGUCUCAUUUUCUAAUGUUGUAUCUAAUGCUGCUCUAAAUCAUGUUCUUUUUCAGACAGCACUACCUAUUGUUGGAGACAUGGGGACAUUAUUGAAGAACGCCUGCAGUGUGUGUCAGACCAGAGUACCAGGAUUGCCAGGGCAGAAAGGAGAAAAAGGUUCCCUUGGAACUCCAGGUAUCCCAGGAAUGGAUGGAGAAAAGGGGGAUCAGGGUCUUCGGGGCCCAGCUGGUAAUCCUGGAAAAGAGGGUCCGAAGGUAAGCCGCCCUAAAUCAGAGAUUAGAGAAGAGAAUCGUGUGAUUGGCAGACAUAUGAGCUUUAGCUAUAAUUCUGGAAGUGCAUUUCCUCUGUUACAACAAGGCAUUGCAGGGCAAAUAUAUUACACAUGGUGCAACAGUAGCAAAUAA